CAAAAUACUUCAAUGACAAAGGACAGCUAGUUGAGAUGAAGAAAAAUUCAGCACAAUUGGAGACAGUAGCUGGAAUCAGGGCUCUUAUGUUUAAUGAAGAGUCUGACAAAGCUUACUACAUCAGGCUGGACAAGGACAUGAAAAGAAAUAAGAUCUAUGAUCUUAGAGCUGCCAUCUAUCAAACUGGAGUUUCAGACCCAGA
rnacentral:lncRNA from 1 species